AGAUUGAACGCUGGCGGCAUGCCUUACACAUGCAAGUCGAACGGCAGCACGGGAGCAAUCCUGGUGGCGAGUGGCGAACGGGUGAGUAAUAUAUCGGAACGUGCCCAGUCGUGGGGGAUAACGCAGCGAAAGCUGUGCUAAUACCGCAUACGAUCUAUGGAUGAAAGCGGGGGAUCGCAAGACCUCGCGCGAUUGGAGCGGCCGAUAUCAGAUUAGGUAGUUGGUGGGGUAAAGGCUCACCAAGCCGACGAUCUGUAGCUGGUCUGAGAGGACGACCAGCCACACUGGAACUGAGACACGGUCCAGACUCCUACGGGAGGCAGCAGUGGGGAAUUUGGACAAGU
rnacentral:rRNA from 1 species